GUUAUCUGCGUUAGUCAACGUUUAUUUAUAAAUCUGGUCCUUCACCGUCACGUGUGUAUUGUAUUUUGCCAAAUCCACCAAUAGCAAUUUCAAUUUACCCUAUUGUUCGAGUCACAGAUAGGUAACUUUCCUAAUUAAUAUUGCUAUUGGUUAGUUGGGCAAAAAUACAAUGCGCACGUGACGGUGAAGGACCAGAUUUAUGAAUAAACGUGGACUAACAUAGAUGAC
rnacentral:miRNA from 1 species